rnacentral:rRNA from 1 species
GACGUAGGGGGCCAGCGUUGCUCGGAAUUACUGGGCGUAAAGGGUUCGUAGGCGGUGUGGCAAGUCGGUAGUGAAAUCCCCAGGCUUAACCUGGGAACUGCAUCCAAUACUGGAUGGCUUGAAUCCGGGAGAGGGAUGCGGAAUUCCAGGUGUAGCGGUGAAAUGCGUAGAUAUCUGGAGGAACACCGGUGGCGAAGGCGGCAUCCUGGACCGGCAUUGACGCUGAGGAGCGAAAGCCAGGGGAGCAAACGGG